GCCCGGCUAGCUCGGCGGCAGAGCACGCGAGAUCUUAAUCCUCGGUCGUGGUUCGAGCCCACGUUGGGCU